GACGAACGCUGGCGGCGUGCUUAACACAUGCAAGUCGAACGGAAAGGCCCUGCUUGCAGGGUGCUCGAGUGGCGAACGGGUGAGUAACACGUGGGUGAUCUGCCCCUUACUUUGGGAUAAGCCUGGGAAACUGGGUCUAAUACUGGAUAGGACCAUGCUGUAGGUGGUGUGGUGGAAAGAUUAGUUUCGGUAAGGGAUGAGCUCGCGGCCUAUCAGCUUGUUGGUGGGGUAAUGGCCUACCAAGGCGUCGACGGGUAGCCGGCCUGAGAGGGUGGACGGCCACAUUGGGACUGAGAUACGGCCCAGACUCCUACGGGAGGCAGCAGUGGGGAAUAUUGCACAAUGGGCGCAAGCCUGAUGCAGCGACGCCGCGUGGGGGAUGACGGCCUUCGGGUUGUAAACUCCUUUCAGCCAUGACGAAGCCCUUGUGGUGACGGCAGUGGUAGAAGAAGCACCGGCUAACUACGUG
rnacentral:rRNA from 1 species